AGCAGUUUGUCUUCAUUAUUUCCUCUGCCACAGAAUAAGCAAACAUACAAAUCAACAAAGUUGACAGAAAGAGUUCCUUUGCGCUGCCUCAUCUGCAUUCCAAAUGCUUCGGAUCUGUUUCCCUUGCGUCUUCGUGUCACCUCAUCCUCUUUAUCCUUUGCUCCCAACGACAGACCCAUCAUCUUGGGUCCAGCUCCAAAGAUCUGCAGCUUCUUUAGUUCAGUAUUUCUACUCAUUUCUCCUGCCUCCACCUGGGACUUGACACGUCUGGUUCUCUUCAGCACAACAUUCAUUCUUGAACCUUGCUUUGGUGAAGUCUGGGCAUCUGAGCUGAGGUCCUCAGCCUCCACUUUUUCCUUAAGGUUCAAGUUAGGCUUCUGGAUGCCCAUUAGGCUGACCCCGGAUUGGAAAAGCUCAUAGGGGUAUAAGAUCCGUUCAUAAUGAGACUUGAGUAACGAUCCUGUGCCUUUUCCCGGCAGGUAGCCAAGCCGACUUGCCACUUUAGACCAUUUCUUCUCUUUCGUGACUACCUCAAAGCCUCCUUUGCCAGCAACAAUCUUGCUCAAACCAUAGAGAUCCAGUAUUUUUC
rnacentral:lncRNA from 1 species